rnacentral:tRNA from 1 species
GGGCCUAUAGUUUAAUGGUAAAACAGCCGCCUCCAAAGCGGCCGUUCCCUGUUCGAGUCAGGGUGGGCCCGCAA